CCUACGGGAGGCUGCAGUGGGGAAUAUUGCACAAUGGGCGGAAGCCUGAUGCAGCGACGCCGCGUGGGGGAUGACGGCCUUCGGGUUGUAAACUCCUUUCGACAGGGACGCGGUACCUGUAUAAGAAGCACCGGCUAACUACGUGCCAGCAGCCGCGGUAAUACGUAGGGUGCGAGCGUUGUCCGGAAUUACUGGGCGUAAAGAGCUCGUAGGUGGUUUGUCGCGUCGUCUGUGAAAUUCCGGGGCUUAACUUCGGGCGUGCAGGCGAUACGGGCAAACUUGAGUGCUGUAGGGGAGACUGGAAUUCCUGGUGUAGCGGUGAAAUGCGCAGAUAUCAGGAGGAACACCGAUGGCGAAGGCAGGUCUCUGGGCAGUACUGACGCUGAGGAGCGAAAGCAUGGGUAGCAAACAGGAUUAGAUACCCUUGUAGUC
rnacentral:rRNA from 1 species